UGGACUGAUCUCUGGUGGGGAUGAGUCCGUCUGACCAUCUGGUGACGCCAAAACACCCUGGAGCUCAACGCUCUGAAGACAGAGAUGGUUGUGGAUUUCCGAAGGAACGCAGCCCCUCAACAUCAUCAGGCUCAGCAGAAGGUGUUCUGAACAAAUUCAACCUGCCAAAGACGAUGAUGGUGACCUUCUACACGGCCAUCAUGGAGUCCAUCCUCUGCUCCACCAUCACCGCCUGGUACGCUGCAGCCACAGCCAAGGACAAGGGCAGGCUGCAGCGCGUCCUCCGCUCUGCAGAGAGGCUGAUCGGCUGCAACCUGCCGUCCCUCUUGAUUGAUUACUUUAUCAAUGACUUUGACACUUCCUGUCUUAAAAAAGAAAGAUAUAUACAUCGAGUGACUUCUUUCUAUUUAAUAAAUAAGAAUACGUGAACAAAUAAGUGAAUUCCUUCUCAUUAAAUAAAAAAGUAUCUAGAAAUCCAAGAUGUAGUGACGUCAUGGCCAGGUCCGUCCAAUCAGAAGAGCCGGUGAAUAAUGUGCACGAGCCUGAAAGCCGAGUCCAAACGUCUCUCCGCCGCCAACCGUCCCCGUGUUCACGAGCAGCAGUAAUGAGCAGCAGAAGCCGAAGGUCCUGCACCAGGGGUCGCUCCAGCUGUUUAGGACGGAAAGCGACGAUUCUCCCCAAAGA